AAAAAGGCCCUUUUCAGGGCCACCAGUGCUACUCACUAACUUUGAUU
rnacentral:ncRNA from 1 species